rnacentral:lncRNA from 1 species
UCACUCUUGGAUGCCUCCUAUUUAAAUAGAGGGGUUUAGGAUGUGGAGAAGCAUCUAAAAACCUUCAUUUGGGUGUGAGUUCCCUUUGGGGGAAUGAGAAAAUUCUAGGGAGAAAGAGAGAAAGGUUCUCUCCUCUCCAAGUCUUCUUCCUCCUAUACUUUGUCUUCUUCCUUUUUGAGAUUGUCUUGGAGAUUGAAGGAGAUCUUGUUCAACCAUCAAGAAAGUGUUCUCUACUAGAAAGUUAGUAUUCAAGGGAGAACAUAGAGCUUCUGAUCAGAUCUGCUCUCAUCUAGAUACCCAUAGAGGUCGGGCAUGUACACGGCUACAUCAGAACCUGAAGGCAUCCAC